GGAGAAACCCCGUUCUUUUCAUCCUCUGCUAUGGAGAAGGGACGAGGACACGGGUCCUGCAGUGUUGGUGUGGCGAGGCCGGGAAGAAGAGAGAAUGGGCAGCGGGGACUGGCCACGGCGCUGCCAGAAAGGGUCUCACCUGUGGCCAGCAGCGGUGGCUCAUGCCUGUAAUCCCAGCACUUUGAGAGGCCGCGGUGGGCAGAUCACAAGAGCUUCCCCUGUGUCUGCUGUUUCUCAAAAUGAUCCUUAGCCAAAAAGGUGUACUUUGAGGUAGCAUAUUCUGGUCUCCUACAGCUAUUCAACUGAGGGCAGAAUGGUCUCACUCUGUUGGCCCAGGCUGGAAUGCAAUGGUGUGACCUCAGCUCACUGCAACCUCCAUCUCUUGGCUUCAAGCGAUUCUCCUGCCUCAGCCUCCCGAGUAGCUAGGACUACAGGUGUGCGCCACCAUACCCAGCUAAUUUUUGUAUGUUUAGUAGAGAUGGGGUUUCCCCAUGUUGGCCAGGCAGAUCUUGAACUCCUGACCUCAAGUGAUCCACCCACCUCAGCCUCCCAAAGUGCUGGGAUUACAGGUGUGAGCCACAAUGCCUGGCUGAAUAUUAUUAUUAUUAUUAUUGUAUUAUUAUUAUUAUUAUUAUUAUACUUUAGGUUUUAGGGUUCAUGUGCACAAUGUGCAGGUUAGUUACAUAUGUAUACAUGUGCCAUGCUGGUGCACUGUACCCACUAACUCGUCAUCUAGCAUUAGGUAUAUCUCCCAAUGCUAUCCCUCCCCGCUCCCCCCACCCCACAACAGUCCCCAGAGUGUGAUGAUCCCCUUCCUGUGUCCAUGUGUUCUCAUUGUUCAGUUCCCACCUAUGAGUGAGAAUAUGCGGUGUUUGGUUUUUUGUUCUUGCGAUAGUUUACGGAGAAUGAUGAUUUCCAAUUUCAUCCAUGUCCCUACAAAGGACAUGAACUCAUCAUUUUUUAUGGCUGCAUAGUAUUCCAUGGUGUAUAUGUGCCACAUUUUCUUAAUCAUCGUUGGACAUUUGGGUUGGUUCCAAGUCUUUGCUAUUGUGAAUAGUGCCGCAAUAAACAUAUGUGUGCAUGUGUCUUUAUGGUAGCAUGAUUUAUAGUCCUUUGGGUAUAUACCCAAACAAAUUUACAUGAAUAUUAUUUUAAACUUUGGAAAUAUCUUAACAUGCUACAUAAACUAAUGACUUGUUUAGC